UUAGUCAGUGUUUGGUCUGGGCGUGCGAACGAGGAGAAGGAACCAAGGGAACCAAAACCCUAAACAACCUAAAAUCAUCAAAUUGAAAGGGGAAUCGAGGGCUGAUCGAAUGCAUGAGUCUAGAUACCCUUUAAUCUAAGUGUAUUGAUCAUAAGGAACGUGUCAAGGAGAGCUCAAGCAUAGGAGGAUAACGGGUCAAGAUAAGGCAAGGUGACAAAUACACUUAUUGGAAUACUCAAGGUAAGUGAUUUCUAUAAUCACUUCUUUAGUUGUUUAAGUAAUAUAAUGUUUUAAUUAUUAAGUUCAUAUGAAGUUGAGGUUAAAUCAAUGGAUUAUUUUGAUAAAUGCACGAAUGGGUCGAAUAAUUCAUAGAUGAAUAACAAGCCGAAUACGUAUAAGUUAAGGAAUUCCUUAACUCGGAUGUUGGACUUCAAGAUCACGUGAUAGAAUAUUAAAUUACAAUCAUAUAGGAAGAAACGUGACGCAAAACGGACGAAAAAUGAGAGAGUUAUGUCCGUUUCAGUAAGGAUUAAUGGCUAGGAAAAGUGCAGAGUUGACACGGCCGGGUGGUGAACUGACACGGCCGGGUGAAGGUUCUGUCAAAAAUAAUAUUUAUGUGAUUUAUGCGCCGUAGGCUUCGGUAUAUUAUCCGUGAACUACGACGGGCCUCCCAAACAUGAUUUCGAGUGUUUCCUUGACGAUUAUAAGUUGUAAACCCAAGUCUAAGCCUCAUGUAAUUUAUAUAAGAGUGUGAUAGAUGUAUGUAAAGAAGUUGGACAUGUAUUACAUGUAAAUGUAUACAAAAAUACGUACGGAACACGUAGGUAUGAAUACAUGAUUGUAGGUAUGAUUAAAUGUAUAUUAGGUAUGUAGAUGUGUAUGAUUGUAAGUUUGUAUGUGUGCAAGUAUGUGCGAAUGCAUGAUUCGGAUGCAUUUAAAUGGUUAACGUCCUUUUUAUGAAGAUGUAGUAAAUGAAUAUGUUGAGAUUACGGGUUUGGCUAACCAAGUUAUUAUUGAGUAUGUUUGAAAGUGCAGGUGAUGAAUGUCGGACUUUCGAAGUGUUGAUAUAAUAAUGAAACGGUUGAAUGUUGAAAGGAUAAUCGGACUGAAGUAACUUAUGCGGUUAGAAUAUGCUAUGGACGUUUUAGUUUAUACAAUAUUAUAUGUUUGGUCGUCACCAUCUACUAACAGGUUCGUUGUAUGAGAGUAUAUGUCAUACCCAUUUAAUUGGGUAAUCGAAUACGUAAGAAAAAUGUACGCGCACGAAUGGAACUAAAAUGACGGUUUUAUAAGCAAACAAGUAUAAUGACUAACUUUUUAAAGCUUUGUUGUUGAAUGUAGGUAAAUCCUCAAUUUAGGCGACUUGGAGAAUCGGAGCGAGCGCGUGUUCGUGUUAUGCGAUACCAAACGCUUCCGCUAGUUUGUUCAAAUGUUUUUGACCCAAAAUUUGUUGUAUUGGUUUUUAGUAGUAUCUUGUUGAACGAAUUGUAGAAUUGUAUCUAGAUUGUUUAUGUUUAAAACAGGGGUAUGCUCGUUUUAUGGACGGGUCAUGCCCGAUUUUUGUUAAAUUAUAGUUUGAUAAUAUCACAUUUAGGAAGGUGAAAUUUUGGGCGUAACAAGUUGGUAUCAGAGCCUAGGUUUGAGGGAUUCGAGCAAGAGUAUCAGUGCUUGAACUCAAACCGAUGACUCGUGCAAAAGUGUGCUCGCUCCGAGAUCGCCAAUGAGGCCAAGAGCACGCGGGUUAUGUGAAGGGUAAGCGCAAUUGUUCGGAAGGAAUGAUCCGUGAAUGCGGUCUAGGACCGGCAUCAAAGCAAGUAAUAAGACGAAUUGACCCCUGGUGAGCUUGAUGAAUGGACACGCAAUGUUACUAAUCAGAAAGGAAGGAUCAUCGUAAGGAACGUGUCAAGGAGAGCUCAAGCAUAGGAGGAUAACGGGUCAAGAUAAGGCAAGGUGACAAAUACACUUAUUGGAAUACUCAAGGUGAUGAAUGUCGGACUUUCGAAGUGUUGAUAUAAUAAUGAAACGGUUGAAUGUUGAAAGGAUAAUCGGACUGAAGUAACUUAUGCGGUAAAUCCUCAAUUUAGGCGACUUGGAGAAUCAGAGCGAGCGCGUGUUCGUGUUAUGCGGUACCAAACGCUUCCGCUAGUUUGUUCAAAUGUUUUUGACCCAAAAUUUGUUGUAUUGGUUUUUAGUAGUAUCUUGUUGAACGAAUUGUAGAAUUGUAUCUAGAUUGUUUAUGUUUAAAACAGGGGUAUGCUCGUUUUAUGGACGGGUCAUGCCCGAUUUUUGUUAAAUUAUAGUUUGAUAAUAUCACAUUUAGGAAGGUGAAAUUUUGGGCGUAACAAUAAAUCCAUCUCCAUAUACAACUCUAAUUUUUAUUUACUUAACGGAUU
rnacentral:lncRNA from 1 species